CCGCGGGGCACGGCGCCAGCCUCGCCUCUGCCUGGGAAGCCAGGCUGCAACCUCACAGCAACCCUGCCCGAAAGCAAAGGGACCCUCCUACAGAAACCUCGUUAGCAGAAGAAGAAGAAUCUCGAUUCAAGCGUUUGAGUGUUUAAUACUGUAUUAUUAUUAUUUCUCCUCGUUUGUGUUGUGUAAUGGCCAUUGGAUGGGUCUGGAAAGAAGCACUUUGGUUCUGCAUCGUUCUGGUUCUGUUCCUGCGUGGUUAUGGGACCCUGCAGGAAUACAUUCCCCCAGUAACUACAGUACUGCUGAUACACGGAAAUAACAGGAAAUCUUCAAAGAGCUCUGAUAUUUCUGGACUGCUUCUCAGUCAUGUCUGGCUGAACUUGUUCCCACGCUCCUGGAGAAAGUCCAGGGCAGCCGAGAGCUCCUGAGGACAGCACUGAUGGGCCGCUGCCACCUGAAGCACCCCCUGUGCCAGAGAGACAACGGUCACUCAAAAAACAUCCUGUGUUCCACAACAGUUCUGCUUGACUGAAAGGCUUGACCCAAAUAACGAAAAUGCAGUACAGGCUGCACAGCAAGAUAAUGCUCCCUGCGCCAGAGCAGAUAGUGCUGGAUGGCAACUUGUCCUUUCUGAGAGAAACAAGGAUGAACAAAAACCUAACAUGUGAGUUAUUUGAAAAAUGUGAGUAAAAUUGUCUUGAUCUGAAAGGAAGUGGUGCUUUUCCAGCUUUCCCCAGUGGCAUUUGGGAUGCUUGCAAUUCUUUUCUUCUGAGAAACCUUCAGCUUUGCCAGCUGCAACUCCAUCAUCUCUGCACUGCCACUGUUGUGGCACCUGCCUCCUGCACGUUAGAUUCUUGGCAGAAAAGGCAAAACGCUGCUAUUGUCACUGGUUGGUGCUUCCUUGUAUUGUCACGUCGUAAGUGAUCUAGAAUUU